ACAUCUCAACUCCUCACGGUUUGCCCGUGAUGAGCUUGGACUUUGGGGGUCUUGCCGGCCUGCAGGUCGGCUCCUCUCAAACGAAUCAGCUUGCCGGUGUUUGGCGGCGUCACAGGUGUGAUAACUAUCUGCGCUUGUGGUUUUCUGCCGGGUAACCUCCAGCAAUGGGAGUUCACUGGAGCUCACAAAUGUCUCUCCUCAGCGAGGACAGGUCUUUGAAU
rnacentral:misc_RNA from 1 species